AUACGGAGGGUGCAAGCGUUAUCCGGAUUUAUUGGGCGUAAAGAGGGUGUAGGCGGUUCUUCAAGUCGGAUGUAAAAUCUCCCGGCUCAACUGGGAGGGAUCAUUCGAUACUGUUGGGCUAGAGUGCAGCAGGGGGAGAUGGAAUUCCCGGUGUAGUGGUGAAAUGCGUAGAUAUCGGGAGGAACACCAGUGGCGAAGGCGGUCUCCUGGGCUGUUACUGACGCUGAGACCCGAAGGCGUGGGGAGCGAACAGGAUUAGAUACCCGAGUAGUCC
rnacentral:rRNA from 1 species